rnacentral:misc_RNA from 1 species
CACAUUUCUCUUCCGCCGCAGAGCUUGCACUUGUCCACUCCCACACGCACACACAAACACACACGGACGCGCACUUGGAUUCGUCUGUGGUGCCGCGUUGCUCUUGUUGUUUGCUGAGGCUUUCCCUCACACAGUUUUCCUGCGUUUUUUUUUUGCGAUCACGUUCGCUGCUGUCACGACCACUGCUUUUCUUGUGAUCUUUUUUCUGUUUGUGGGCGUGCGAUUCCGGCAUUGGCCGUCAUGCGCAUAAGCGCCUCGCUCGGUUUCGUGUGUGUUUCUGUGCGCUGCAAGUGCAAGAGAAGGAGGGAGUGGGGGUUGGGGAACAAAAAAGGGCAGCAGGCGCCCUGGUCUCAAGGCUUGUCUUGGCAACGUGCUCCAAAACCCCGCCAACGAGAUCUUGAGCGAGAACUCGCGCAUCACGCACAAACACGGGAGGGGCACCUUCCUCUUGUGCGACCAUUACUGCUGCAACGAUUGUUGCCCAGCUGGCGCCUUCUCCUCUUCUACCGGCAAUAUGCAGUCGCCACCUUCAGGCUCAUCCGCAGAGCAGCCGCUAAAAGGCGCAUUGCCGUUAGACACAAAGGAAUGCCAGCGUAACCCCCCCACACAAGGUGACACGAAGAGCACACCAGCCUGCUAUGAGCCCUUGAAAUUGCUACGCGACCAGCUGAACGCGCAUAAAUGCCCCAUCAGCAACUUAGCCUCCUGUCUCCGGCCAGAGUCAACCAUGGCCGGAGCGCGGUCAUACACACAAAGGGAGGAAGCAUCCGUGAUCACCACCCCAUCUAGCUUUACCAAGGGCUCGGUCUCCUUGUUCCCCGACUUGUCUUGGCGGCCCGAAGUCACUGGCACUGCGGCGGCACACCACAACGACCACGAUAGCACGCGGAUGUCGCCGGACCUCGGCUACCCACUCCUUUCGGAAGCCUUUAGCAGCAUCGCACCGGGCGUGCUGCCAAUGCAUCCGCCAGAGGAAGAGCAUAAAGAUGCGGUGACGCAGGCAGCUGUUUUGCCGCAGCCAUCGACUACGCCGAUACUUGUCCCGUCCAUCGGAGCAUCCCACCCAACUUUGCAGAAGGGCUGUGUGGCCUCAUCACCAGCCGACACAUGGCAGGGCGUAGCGGUGCAAAACGUGCUUUCGUUUUCAUCCUCGUCGCUCAUGUCGGCUGCCUCAUCGCAGCUCAAUCAGUUGCGCGGCGCAGGGUUGAUCCGGUGUCACUCGGCUCCAGCGCUGCAUAAGGUGGCAAACAGGAAUAAGGCUCUGGUGCACAGGUCGUCACCUGAGGAGGAAGUGAACCGGCCUCGGUCUGCUGUUGUGAAAGUAGCCACUUUAGCGUUUAUAAGCCCCACGGCACACCAUGGCGACGAGUCUUUUUCCGCACAGCCUCCGCAUGGCGCGAAUCUCACGUCAAGCUCUGGGCCGCGUGCGUCGUGCUUGAGAGCGACCACCAGCGUUUCAGGCUCGGCGGUGGAGGAGGUAGCGGCUGUGGCCGUAGCUGGCGUUGGCUCACGCGAGUUUUCGUUGCGCUCCCCCAAUAGCUCGAUUGUCACUUUCAUCGACCACGAGCUCGACAUCAGUACAGCGGACUCAGGCGUCUUCCACGCUGGUGACGACCUCCAUGACGCGUCGGAGGCAGAAAGCCUCCUCGAGUGCGAGGUCGGGCGGCAGCACAGCGGCACAAAGCGCUACCUGCUUACCGACACGCGCUCAUCCCUCUUGCCCGGCGCGCAUGUGAGGCCGUUGAUGUCAAGAUCAACGGUGCGGCAUAGGCGCCUGCCGGCGGUUGUGACGUCAGUGCCGCAGUCUGCACAUCUCACAUCUGAGUACGCUGCCGCUGUUCAAGCAGCGGCUAAGCAUGGUCGCAGCCUGCGUCAGAUCCUGGCAAGGUGCGGCGACGCCGAUGACGCCUUGCGAGAUUCUGGAGAGGCACUGAGCGAACUGUAAGAAAAGAGCUCGAGGCAGACACGCCGCCUCGUUUUUGUUUGUUGCCGAAUCACCCUUGGCCGGGCACUGCUUACAUACGUUCUCUUUUGGCGCACGAGUGCGUGCUGAAAUUGCGUCUUUCCCACUAUUGUGCUGCUUCACAACCCCUUUUUUGUGCUCAAUAUAUAUGUUUCUACUUCUUUGCGUGCGCUCCUGAUGACAGGGGGACAUCUCCGCCUGGCAUCCGCGGCCUAGCGCCCCUCCCUCUCCGCACUCUAUGUGGGAGGGGUGGAGGGGGAGCCGGGAAGGCCUUUCAUCCCUGCCAAUAUCGAGCUGUUUCUGGUGCUGACAGGUUCAAGCACUUAGAACUUAGGGGUAAGCCCGAGUGAUGCAUCGCUGCUGAUGUCGGCGGUCAGGCGCUGGCCGGCGAUUUUCUGAAGCGACCCGCAAGGAGUUGGUCGAUGGACUUUGAGGCAGGGUGCGUUCAGAGAUGACCGAGUGGGCGCAUUGCCGCAACGCCUGGCGAAAGCGAUGGCUGACAGCACGCGAUGAGGGCCUUUGGCAAGCCUGGGCUAGUGUGGAGUAUAGCGCAUGCUCGCUGACGGCGAGUGGGCACGUUGGCCUUACCCCCCCCCCCCCCCCACACCUCCCGCGCCAAACAAAGACAACAUCAGACAAAACAGAGAAGCAAGGCGCAUGCGAAAGC